rnacentral:rRNA from 1 species
UACAGAGGGGGCAAGCGUUGUUCGGAAUUACUGGGCGUAAAGGGCGCGUAGGCGGCCUUCUAAGUCGAACGUGAAAUCCCCGGGCUCAACCCGGGAACUGCGUCCGAUACUGGAAGGCUAGAAUCCGGGAGAGGGAUGCGGAGUUCCAGGUGUAGCGGUGAAAUGCGCAGAUAUCGGGAGGAACACCUAUGGCGAAGGCAGCUCGCUGGGACGUUACUGACGCUGGAGACGCGAAAGCGUGGGGAGCAAACAGG